rnacentral:rRNA from 1 species
ACGCUAGCUACAGGCUUAACACAUGCAAGUCGAGGGGAAACGAUAUUGGAAGCUUGCUUCCGAUAGGCGUCGACCGGCGCACGGGUGAGUAACGCGUAUCCAACCUGCCCACCACUUGGGGGUAACCUUGCGAAAGUAAGACUAAUACCCAAUGAUAUCUCUAGAAGACAUCUGAAGGAGAUUAAAGAUUUAUCGGUGAUGGAUGGGGAUGCGUCUGAUUAGCUUGUUGGCGGGGUAACGGCCCACUAAGGCAACGAUCAGUAGGGGUUCUGAGAGGAAGGUCCCCCACAUUGGAACUGAGACACGGUCCAAACUCCUACGGGAGGCAGCAGUGAGGAAUAUUGGUCAAUGGACGAGAGUCUGAACCAGCCAAGUAGCGUGCAGGAUGACGGCCCUAUGGGUUGUAAACUGCUUUUAUAAGGGAAUAAAGUGAGUCUCGUGAGACUUUUUGCAUGUACCUUAUGAAUAAGGACCGGCUAAUUCCGUGCCAGCAGCCGCGGUAAUACGGAAGGUCCGGGCGUUAUCCGGAUUUAUUGGGUUUAAAGGGAGCGUAGGCCGGAGAUUAAGCGUGUUGUGAAAUGUAGAUGCCCAACAUCUGCACUGCAGCGCGAACUGGUUUCCUUGAGUACGCACAAAGUGGGCGGAAUUCGUGGUGUAGCGGUGAAAUGCUUAGAUAUCACGAAGAACUCCGAUUGCGAAGGCAGCUCACUGGAGCGCAACUGACGCUGAAGCUCGAAAGUGCGGGUAUCGAACAGGAUUAGAUACCCUGGUAGUCCGCACGGUAAACGAUGGAUGCCCGCUGUUGGUCUGAAUAGGUCAGCGGCCAAGCGAAAGCAUUAAGCAUCCCACCUGGGGAGUACGCCGGCAACGGUGAAA